UACGUAGGUGGCAAGCGUUGUCCGGAUUUACUGGGCGUAAAGAGCGCGCAGGCGGUCGGUCAAGUCGCGUGUGAAAGCCCCCGGCUCAACUGGGGAGGGUCACGCGAUACUGAUCGACUCGAAGGCAGGAGAGGGUAGUGGAAUUCCCGGUGUAGAGGUGAAAUUCGUAGAUAUUCGGAGGAACACCAGUGGCGAAGGCGGCUCACUGGCUCGAUACUGACGCUGAGGUGCGAAAGCGUGGGGAGCAAACAGG
rnacentral:rRNA from 1 species